rnacentral:rRNA from 1 species
UACGGGGGGGGCAAGCGUUGUUCGGAAUCAUUGGGCGUAAAGGGCGCGUAGGCGGUCGCGUGUGUCUGCUGUGAAAGCACACGGCUCAACCGUGUGAAGUCGGUAGAAACUGCGGGACUUGAGGCUGGGAGAGGUUGGUGGAAUUCCCUAUGUAGCGGUGAAAUGCGUAGAUAUAGGGGAGAACACUCGUGGCGAAGGCGGCCAGCUGGACCAGCCCUGACGCUGAGGCGCGACAGCGUGGGGAGCAAACAGG